rnacentral:rRNA from 1 species
UAGGGAAUCUUCGGCAAUGGACGAAAGUCUGACCGAGCAACGCCGCGUGAGUGAAGAAGGUUUUCGGAUCGUAAAACUCUGUUGUUAGAGAAGAACAAGGACGUUAGUAACUGAACGUCCCCUGACGGUAUCUAACCAGAAAGCCACGGCUAACUACGUGCCAGCAGCCGCGGUAAUACGUAGGUGGCAAGCGUUGUCCGGAUUUAUUGGGCGUAAAGCGAGCGCAGGCGGUUUCUUAAGUCUGAUGUGAAAGCCCCCGGCUCAACCGGGGAGGGUCAUUGGAAACUGGGGAACUUGGGUGCAGAAGAGGAGAGUGGAAUUCCAUGUGUAGCGGUGAAAUGCGUAGAUAUAUGGAGAAACACCAGUGGCGAAGGCGGCUCUCUGGUCUGUAACUGACGCUGAGGCUCGAAAGCGUGGGGAGCAAACAGG